rnacentral:rRNA from 1 species
UACAGAGGUCUCAAGCGUUGUUCGGAUUCAUUGGGCGUAAAGGGUGCGUAGGCGGCGCGGUAAGUCGGGUGUGAAAUCUCGGAGCUUAACUCCGAAACUGCAUUCGAUACUGGCGUGCUUGAGGACUGGAGAGGAGACUGGAAUUUACGGUGUAGCGGUGAAAUGCGUAGAUAUCGGAAGGAAGACCAGUGGCGAAGGCGGGUCUCUGGACAGUUCCUGACGCUGAGGCACGAAGGCCAGGGGAGCAAACGGG